rnacentral:misc_RNA from 1 species
GAUGAGUCCUUUAAUCAAUACACUCUGAGGUCCGCGAGUGUGUACCAUCUGGCGGGGACUUGGACCAAUGAGAAACUGUGUAUGUGUGAACCGUGCCUUGUGAUUGGCCUCGAGGAACACAGCUACGGGACACAUGGCAGUUUCAGGACUCGCCACAAGCAGCUGGGGGAGAAGAUGUCAGUCUCUAUAUUGAAAUUACUAGUCAAAUUCCAUGGACACUGAGGUCACUCCUGCCACUAUGGAGGGGGACGGAGGCGGGGGAGAUCCGGUGAUAGACGAGCUCCAGAAGAAGAUCCAGGAGUUGGAGGAGAAUGCGAGCAGGUUACAAGAUGAGAAAGUGCGGCUGGAGGAGGAUUAUGGGCACCGCCGCGCCAAGCUGAAGGAACUCUACCUGCAGAAGGAAGAGGAACUGCGACUACAGACAGAACAGAAGGCAUCCAUAGAGACAGAGGUGGAGGUAUUGCGCUCACAGGUCCAGCAGCUACAAGGCGACCUGGAGGAGGCCCACAGUGCAGUGACCAUCGCCCAGUGCACCGCUGAGAAUGACGUGGCAGUCGAACAACGGAAAUGUCAGGAGGAGAUCGCUACAGUACACCAGCUGAUGAAAGAGGAGGUAGCAAAUGCCGUGGACCAGACAGGCGGCCGGUAUGAAGGGGAGAUCAAGAGACUGAAGAAGCUGACGGAGAGACUGGAUGCGGAGAAGCAGCACUACCGGAGACUGUAUGAGAGGCAGCUUGAGGAGUCAGACAUCAGGAACAAGGGGGAGAGCCUGCUGAAUCCUGGGGUGCUGUCAGUUGUCACCAAGUCCCUGGCAAAGCGCGUUCCCAGCCUGAGUCCAUCGACCCUCAGCACCCCAGAGAAGGCUUCCCAUAACACCUCAUUUGGGCCCCAGCCGUCCUCCCUCAUCGUGGACUCAGAGAACCUUGAGGACAGCAUGAAGAAGGUACGGUCACCCAGGAGUCAUGAGGCACAGGAGGAUGCCGACUUGCUACGGUCACUUGUUGAACCUCUGGAGGAGGAGAUUCAUGCCCUCAAGGAGAAGAUCCGUGCCCAGGAUGCCCAGCUGCGUGCCCAUGAGGCCCAGCAGGCAGCAGCCCUCCACACUGCAGACCUGGUGGCUCCCCUUCUCCAGGGCACUGACACAGCCCAGGUGGUGCAGCAGCUUGAUGACAAGCUCAAGGGCAUAUGCAGCACACUUGAGGCAGAGAAGGCAUCAAGGGCUGACCUGGAGCUGUACACUGCCAUCCUGAACACCCAGAAGACGGCCCUCACUGAUGAAGUGGACAGGUUGCGCUCCCAGAUGACUGAACUGAGACAGUCUUACGAGACAGAGCGGCGUCAGCACCGGGACCUAAAGCACACCUGGCGGCGGGCCAACGACCAGUUUCUGGAGGCCCAACGGCUGCACCUGGCGGACAUGAGGCGCAUGCAGGUGCUGCUCACUCAGGAUCAGCUGCACAAGUUAGAAGAAGCACAGCAGAGUGAGGAGGCUACCGCCAGAGCAACACCUCACUUCACACUCACCAAUGCCAAGCAGUCCCCAACACACAUGGCCACCCACCAUAUUGUCAAGAAGCAUGGCCCAUCACCCACCCCAGAGAAUGAGGUGGAGAGUGAUAAGUCUUCCUCAUUAUUAGACCUGGAGGAAGAGCCAACACCCACACCUGCCACCACCACCACCACUGCCAUUGCCACCACCUCACAAGGGGAGCAGAGUGACGACCAGAGCAGUGAGACAGAGACCCGCAGCCUUCCCCCGGACUCCCUUGCCCCUGAUGGCCUUGUCCCACGUAACAUCCUGGCCGAGCGUUUCAGUCCUGACAAGAUGCCUCAGCUGACACAAGACCAGCAGAGGGCCUUACAGGAAGUGUUCCCAGAUGCUCCAGGCGAGACUCCACUUACCCCUCAGGAUGAAGACUACUUGGUGAUUGACUUCUCACCUAGUGCAGAUGCAAGGAGUGGCCAGGGGCAGGGCCGGCGAGUGGUGAGUGAGGCAGAGUGGAACAUGCUUCAUGAGGAGAUCAGGCGGGCCAGGUCUCACAUGGGGCGGUCCUGCCAGCUGUGUACCUCCUAUCAGUCCCAGCUGCAGAAGGCUCAAAGUGACCACAAAGACACUGAGAAGCAGCGGUUGGACCUGGAGCGUGCCCUGCAGAGGUACAAGGAGGACCUGGAUCGGGAGGCUCAGUACAGGCAGGUGAUGGAGGAGCGCUGGCAGGGCAUGGCAGAAGACUACGAGAAGAAAGUAGCAGGGCUGGCCACUGUAGUAGAGACAGCAGCAGGCAAGCAAAUGGAGUUGGAAACCAAGUUCCGUUCAACUAUAUCCAGCGUCCACGACAAGCUGCGUUCCCUGACUGAGCGCAGGGAGAUUGCCCAACAAGAGCUUACCAGGCUACAGAAAGAAAAUGAUGAUCUGGUGGGCAAGCACAGCAAGCACUCACAGCAGCUGCAGAAUGAGAUAAUCAAUUUACCAGACAACAUGGAGGAUAUGCAGCUGCUGUUGUUGCGUUACCAAGAGGACAUCAUUGAAGCGAAGGUGUCUAAGGAGCAUCAGGAAGAAAGUCUCAAGUCAGAGAUCCUCUUCCUUAAGGAUCGGGUUCUGGCAGAGCAACAUGAGAAGAACACCAUUGAGGACCGCUUGUCAUCUGAAAUUGAUCAACUCAGAGAAAAAGUGGCAUUGCUUGAGAGCCUGGAGAGUCAGAUGAAGCUGGAGCGCAGGACGAGAGUGGAAAGUGAUGCCCAGGUGCGGGACCUUGAGACAAAACAUGCAGAGUCGCAGGUCAAGAGUCAGCAGAUCAUCACUGGCCUUAAGACGCAGGUGGCUGAGCAGACACAGAUGAGGGCCCGUCUGGAGGCUGAGGUGGUGGAGCUGCGGGGAAGAGUAUCAACACUCCAGCAUGACCUUGACACCUCAGAGGCUGUCCAGAGAGAUUUUGUGCGGCUCUCCCAGUCACUGCAAGUUCAGCUGGAAAAGAUUAGGCAAAGUGAGAAGGAGGUGAGAUGGCAGCAUGAGGAAGACCAAGAGGAAUGCAACAGCUGCAAACAAAGAUUUUCUGCCAUGGGUCGGAGAAAGCAUCACUGCCGUCACUGCGGAAAGAUUUUCUGCAACGAAUGUGUCAGCAAAACAGUGCCAAGUGGUCCCCACCGGAGACCCUCUCGAGUGUGUGACGUGUGCCACACCCUCCUGGUGCAGGAUGCCACCCCAUACUUCAGCUCAGAGCCCCCACACUCCCCUGACUGACCACCUUAACCAUCUCUAUCCUGCACCACCACUUACCUCGAGCGACCUUCCGUGCUGAAGGUUGUGUUUCAACAAUUCCAGCUGGUGGGCCAUGCAAGCAACUAGUCAUGCAAUUUGUUAAUGUCUUCAGCUGUGGUUCCCUGCGCCACCAGGCCUUGCUGUCUGCGUGGAGUCAGGGUGACUGGAUGCUGGGUUUUGACAAGCGAGUGUUUGAAAAAACCCAGCUGAACAAAUCUAGUUCCUUUUAAAGAGGAACAUUUUAGAGGUAAUGGUGUUUUUGUCCCUUACUAUAGAAACAUUUUAUUUUCCAUUCAUCACCGUGUUUCUUUGAUGGCCUCAUCUUCCACAAGUAACUCCAGACUCAUAGUAGUUAGUAAUUAGUUCUGUUAGAUCAAAUGCUCCUCAGAAGAAAAUGUGCUGAAUGCUGUUUAUGACUCCUUGCACUCCAUUUCUAAAUCAGUCCUGCCUUAUCAAGUAUCUCCUGUCCUCAAGGGUUUGCUACAGCCAUAAAGAGAAUUGUGAAUAUGUAUAAAAGUUAGAAUUAUUGAUUAUUACCUAGAUCUGUUGUGGCAGUGUUUAUAUUUAGUCCUGACAAGAGUUUUAUAUUUUCUACACAUAUAUAAAUAUAUAUACUAUAAUGUGUGUGUGUGUGUGUGUGUGUGUGUGUGUGUGUGUGUGUGUGUGUGUGUGUGUGUGUGUGUGUGUGUCAGCAUGUGCACAUGCAUGCUGUUGCAGAACAGAAAGAAAACUCUUAGUAUUGAAUUUUAUAUAUUGCAGCAGGAAAUGAAAAGUUGAAGAGACAAAGCACUAUCAACAACAGUAAUAUUGCAGAUGAUAAGUCCUAAUGUUAGUUUGUAUUUUAAAUACUACACUGUUACUCUUGCAAGUGAAUUGUUGCUCAGCUGAGUGCACCAAACCAGACCUAUCCAUCUGUCUCACCUCAUUCCUUUCAAAUCCUAUUACAGCCAGCAUGCAUUCAGAAGGAUGGUCACAGACAGAAAAAUAAGCACCAUUAGAACAGCACACUGGCAUAUAUAUUCCAUAGAGUAAUGAAAUGAAAUUGGCUAACAAGCUGGGUUUUUAUGUGUGUGUGUGUGUGUAUGUGUGUGUGUGUGUGUGUGUGUGUGUGUGUGUGUGUGUGUGUGUGUGUGUGUGUGUGUGAGGAAGGGGCUGCAUCUAUGGGAGGAGGCUGUGAGUGAGUAAAUGCAGUGGUACCUUGGUUAUCCGUAUAUCAGGAAACCCACGCUGGUAAGCCAACAGAAGCUGCAUUUGUGUCUCAUGACUCUCAAAGUCCAUAUCAAACAUUUCAGUGUCUGAUGUUCACUACUUUUUACAAGGUCUGUGGCAAGUUAGUGGAAUAUUUUCAUAAUCCUAGUGACAAUUUAAGAAGAAUCAUCUAAGUGGCCUAUAAAAGUAUUUCUAAUGAGAGAACACUGCUUUUUUUAUGAAUAAGGGCAUCUAAAAUUUUGAAGCAAUCCUCCUUAAUUUAUUGAAUGGUCAGUGGCUGAUUCAUUUGGGGCUUCCAGAUACAAACAUUGACUCCACAGCCUUGUGCUGAACAAGUAUGUAAAACACUGUUAAUGAUUUUAUUGGUAUGUGUUAGUUUUGCUUCUGUUUGCAUUGUAGCUCUAGAUAUUUUGUGGUGGCCUCAUGCUGUGCAGUACAGUACAGUGUUGCAUUUCGGCAGUGCAGCGUUUGUUAAAUGUAUGCAAAAUUAGGCAGAUCUAUAGAUUCACUUCCGAAUGACACUUGGUACAUUAUUUUAUGUAAUUGAUGAAUGGCUACAUUAUUAGCAGUCUGAACGGUUUGGCAUUGAUUUAUUCAGAUGUCUGUGGUGAAUGAGGACUUAAAAAUCAGCUCUGAAAUGGAGGUUUCAUAUAACAAAGAUACCACUGCAUUUUUGGUUUUUAUCAUUUAAUGUAAUGUUCCUUGACUCAGUCUUACCUAUAUUCAUGCAUUGCCUGGAACUUUUAAUGCAAUAGAAAUGUUUAAUUAUAGCAGAUAUAUAUGUUAAGGGUCCUGGUGACAGUGGGUAAUGUGCUGCAUUAUUUUUAAGACGUUUCUGAUCAGUUCUAUGUGGUGGCUAAGUUUCUAAGUCUGUGAACAGGGGAUAAUUUAUUGUCACUAAAUCAAAACAUAUUGUUAGACCAUGGCAAGUAUUUUUGUUUACCAUUAAUUUACAUUGAGAGAAGAUGCAAUCAUACUUGGGAAAGUGUACAUAAUUACUGUAUAUAUAUAUAUAUAUAUAUAUAUAUAUAUAUAUAUAUAUAUAUAUAUAUAUAUAUAUAUAUAUAUAUAUAUAUAUAUAUAUAUAUAUAUAUAUAUAACAUAUUAUGUGUUACUUUUUUUUUAAGACAUUUUUUUCUUGUAAGUGUCAGGGACUUGUACUUUAGUGUGCUAUGGCUGAUAUGCUGUGUUGUGUGCAGUGGUGUGCUGUGUGGUGGUGGGUGUUAACUUAUAUCAGGGAAACAGAUGAGAAAAAGUUUGAUUGACUGGCUGAAUAGAUGUGACAGUGAUACAGGGUCAUAUGGUGCCACAGAAGGAAUGACUAUUAGGUUACACCAGGGUAACAGGGAUUCAUUUAUUAAAUUUAGCACUGCUGCAGAUCACUUGGUGCCAUGGGAAGGCAAGCUGAACCAUUUAUUAUGAAAAAUAUGCCUGAGAAGAUGAUGUAAUUGUAAUGCACAUAUUGUGAAAAGUGAAAUGGCAAAGAAAAAGUUACCUACAUACUGCAUGAGAGAGGUCAUCCCAGGUACAAAACAGUAAAAUCUUGCAAAAUGAAAAUAAUUAUGAAUCCAAAAAUACAGGAUGAGGAAUGUUUGUCCAUGAGAUGUCUUGAAAUAAGGAUACCUGUUUUUAUCUAAAGUGGGAUUUAUGGAUUGAAAUUGGGGCAUGGGAAUGGCAUUUUAUGGUGAAUACUGUGAUUUGGAUCCUUACUUGCUUUUAAAGAAACAAGAGAAGAGAGAGUAUGUGAGUGCAAGAGUUUUUGUUACCAUUUUACAGGAGUCCAAAAGUACAUGUAUGCCUGUUUAUUAGUUUAUGAGCCACUAUCACUAGUCUGAUAGAAUGAGAUUUGACUCUGCUUCAGUAAUUCUUAAGUUCAUAUUUAUCAUUCUAUUCCUUGUGGAAGGUGUUAGUCUGUGAUUCCUUCAUUUGUUAUUGACCAUGUAGAUAAUGGAUUGGAAUUUUGUAUCUUUUAUUUUUUGUCUUGAGGAGUGCGAUGAUGAUACGAUGGACUCUUAGUGACUUUUAGGGAGACUGAUGGAUAUUUCUGUAUUUGCAAAGCUCCAUCAUGAUGAGAGCCGAGGAGUUAUGUACUACUGCUGUGAUUAGGGACUGUCAUUGUGAUUGUGUUGAUGUAAAUUAUAAGGUGCAGGAUGUGACAAUAUGCUAACAGAUGAGAAGCUGGUGUACAUAGUGGCUAGAUCCACAGUUAAAUCUCUUGUAAAGAACAAAAUGAUGUCAAGUCAUAAGUGGGAAAUGCUUAAGCAGAAAUGCUUUACGAGAGUUACUGAUGUAAUGCAAAAAAGUGAUACAAUGAAAAGAUGAGUAUUUGGUGUAUAUGUUUACAAGCUCUUCACAUUUCUUUCAAAGAAAAUAAAUAACAUUGUAAGAAUUAUAAUUAAUGAGAAAAUUCACUGGAGGUUAAGCAUAAAUUAUGAUAAUAUAAGAAACUGGUAUGUUUUGUGUACAUUUUACUUCCUUCUGCCUUUUCCAGAUACCAAAAUAGUGAGUUCAUAAGUGGAGUUAUUUGCCAGUGAAAAGAAGCAUUUGAAGAAUUAAAAAUUAGUGUUGUUAGCAGUGGAAGACAUGCCAAAUGCCAGACAUCAAGAAAACACUGCCAUGUGCGUUCAUCAUUCUUGUUUUAAUCUUUGUAAGUGUUUUUUUAGCUUCAAUACAAUACACACCGGCACCUGGCAGGAUCUGGGUGGGAGGAAGAUGGGGUGUUAUUGCUGAUUGUUCAUCCUAAUUAAACAAGGCCAUUAUGACAAGAGGUAACAGGAUUUUAAAGACAGUAUUAUCCUUGACAAUUUAAUAUCUUGGCUCCCAGAUCACGUAAGGUAUACAUAUUCAGUGUACAGGUUAGCUUAUUGUAUUAUAAGUGCAAUAAAUAUUAGAUAUGAA